UAAACGACUCUCGGCAACGGAUAUCUCGGCUCACGCAUCGAUGAAGAACGUAGCAAAAUGCGAUACUUGGUGUGAAUUGCAGAAUCCCGUGAACCAUCGAGUUUUUGAACGCAAGUUGCGCCCGAAGCCUUUUGGUUGAGGGCACGUCUGCCUGGGCGUCACAUA
rnacentral:rRNA from 1 species